rnacentral:rRNA from 1 species
UCAUUGAGAGUUUGAUCCUGGCUCAGGAUGAACGCUGGCGGCGUGUUUAAGGCAUGCAAGUCGUGGGAUCGGCUUUUUUAUUCUUCGGAAUUUUGAAGUACGGACCGGCAAACGGGUGAGUAACACAUUGGUAACCUACCUUCGAGUUGGGCAUAGACCCGGGAAACCGGGAUUAAUACCCAAUAGUCAUGAGGGGUCGUAAGACAUUCUCAUGUAAAGAUUUAUCGCUCGAAGAGGGGCCUAUGGCUGAUUAGCUUGUUGGUAGGGUAAAGGCCUACCAAGGCUAUGAUCAGUAGCAGGCGUGAGAGCGUGACCUGCCUCACUGGGACUGAGACACUGCCCAGACUCCUACGGGAGGCUGCAGUCGAGAAUAUUCCACAAUGGACGAAAGUCUGAUGGAGCGACGCCGCGUGCAGGAAGACGCCCUUCGGGGUGUAAACUGCUUUUCUGAAGGACGAAUUCGUGACGGUACUUCAGGAAUAAGAGGUUGCUAACUCUGUGCCAGCAGCAGCGGUAAUACAGAGACCUCGAGCGUUAUCCGGAUUCAUUGG